rnacentral:rRNA from 3 species
UACGAAGGGGGCUAGCGUUGUUCGGAUUUACUGGGCGUAAAGCGCACGUAGGCGGGUCGUUAAGUCAGGGGUGAAAUCCCGGAGCUCAACUCCGGAACUGCCUUUGAUACUGGCGACCUUGAGGCUGGAAGAGGUUAGUGGAAUUCCCAGUGUAGAGGUGAAAUUCGUAGAUAUUGGGAAGAACACCAGUGGCGAAGGCGGCUAACUGGUCCAGAUCUGACGCUGAGGUGCGAAAGCGUGGGGAGCAAACAGG